rnacentral:misc_RNA from 1 species
GCACACUCUGCUAGUUCAGUUCAUGGGAUCUUAAAAUUGUUCCAGUAAAAUUUGUUGCGAGUCCCGAAGAAUAAUCAGGAAGGUAACUAGUGAAGUACAAAAACUAAGCCAUUUGAGAAUAUAAUACACAAAAGGGUGUUCCACCACCACCUCCACUGCCAUGCACAUCUGCUAGCUAGUAGGAAGCAGCAGCAGCAGCAUCACCCACUGCCACAUGAUUCCCACAGAGCCACAUGAUUUUGUUUUUAAGGCAUUCCAUAACUUUCUUUAGCUACAAAAAAAGUAAAAAGAAAACCAAAGACAAAAUAAUCAUUAAUCAGCAAACAGUUUGCCAUUCACGAGCCAGUGACCUCUAAAAGCAUAUUUUGACGAUUUCAAACUGUCUUCUUAAUUAAGGACAGUGAACCUCAUAUCCUGCACAUGUGAUCCUCCCCAGUAUAUCAAUUUCCAAUACCUCAAAACAAGAAUGAGAACCAGACCCCUACGUAUGAUCAAUCAACAUAUAAAAUAGAAAAUUGUCGCUGUCUUUGGUAACAACAGGCAAAGGCAAUCAUGUUGUUGGCUCUAACGUGUUGCAGUUCUGGGUUUCAAGAAAUGUUUUAUCCGAGUACUGCAACAAAGUCCCUUGAUCCAAUCAAAGCAAAGCCUGAAAUUAAUGAGUUUGUUCUUACUCUUUUCUCUGUAGCCAUCCAAACUUCCAUGCAUACAUUCCAAAGAA